rnacentral:misc_RNA from 1 species
GAUGAAGAACGUAGCGAAAUGCGAUAAGUAGUGUGAAUUGCAGAAUUCAGUGAAUCAUCGAAUCUUUGAACGCACAUUGCGCCCUUUGGUAUUCCAAAGGGCAUGCCUGUUCGAGCGUCAUUUGUACCCUCAAGCUUUGCUUGGUGUUGGGCGUCUUGUCUCUAGCUUUGCUGGAGACUCGCCUUAAAGUAAUUGGCAGCCGGCCUACUGGUUUCGGAGCGCAGCACAAGUCGCACUCUCUAUCAGCAAAGGUCUAGCAUCCAUUAAGCCUUUUUUUCAACUUUUGACCUCGGAUCAGGUAGGGAUACCCGCUGAACUUAAGCACAUCAAUAAGCGGAGGA